rnacentral:lncRNA from 1 species
AAAUAUUUGCAUACAGACAUUUGAGGCUGCUCUGUAUAUUACAGGCAAGAACUGGAAACUGUUCGGCUGCAGGGUGACAGCUAACUAGAUUGUGGUUUAUUAGGGGAAUGAGCCUUUCUUUGUGUAUGACAACUAUGAAAACUAUUGAGAAGAAAUAGUUACGUGAUACAGUCAUAAUCCUCAAAAACGGAGAAUCAGGAAUUAUGAUCAAAUAGUGAUAGUAACAAGGAAAACAUCUGUCUAAAUAAUUACUGAGUAGAAAUAGGUUCGGAAUUUGUAAAUAGUCAUUAAUUUGGGAGAUUGGGGUUUUUUUUGUUUUGUUUUUUGUUUGUUUUUCAUUAUUUUGUGCUAUUAUUCAUACGUGUACAUUUCUACUUCAGUUUUUAUUAUCCAUUACAUAACAUACAUGCUUGAUUAUUUGCUUCAAGGAAAUACACCUUUAUAAGUAAUACUCAAUAACUACUGGGUUUGAGAAUGAAGGUGUCAGAACGAAUGAGAUUGUCCUAUGAAAGAAGAGGCAGGAGCCAGGGAGGAGGAUCCCACCCGGCCGGGGCUCAGCCAGGAGGCAGGGCCAUUGGGGCAGGGUGGCAGUCCAAGGAACCGCUCUGGGAAGGUUUGCAAAGGUCGGGGUCCCCCCUGCCAGGUGAUCGAAUUAUCGUGGAGUGUCUGGAAGGCGGGGGAAGUUUUGUUGAGUUCACCAAAUAACUCAGACCAACUGGAAACCAAGUGGAGUUUCUACAGGACCAACUAGAAUAGGGAUCAGCUACAUGGGGGCGGGGGGAGGGGGGCAGGGAACGGUGUCUGUCUUCAUUGCAGCUCUGUCUGCAGAGCCAGCACUGUGAUACCUCAUAGUAGGUGCUCAGUGAAUGUCUGUGAAGUGAAUUACUAUCUAGACAAGGAUGAGACUGGUAUGACUCUCCAAAGCUUUCCCACCUCCAAAACCUCGGCUUGUGGGGAAUCUCCAGUAGGGGGCACUGUGGACACGGUUCGCAUCUGCCUCCCAAGGCUGGGCUCCGCGUCAAAAAAAAAAAAAAAAAAUGAGACUGAGCCAGGUGCAGUGGUCACUCCUGUUAUCUCAGCACUUUGCGUGGCCAAGGCGGGAGGAUGUCUUGAGGCCAGGAGUUCAAGACUAGGCUGGGCAACAUAGCAAGACCCCAUCUCUACAAAAAAAUUUUUAAAUUAGCCAGAGGUGGUGGCAUGCACCCGUAGUCCCAGCUGCUCGGGAGGCUGAGGCAGAAGAUUGCUCGAGCCCAGGAGUUCAAGGCUGCAGUGAGCUCUGAUUGUGCCACUGCACUCCAGCCUGAGUGACAGAGCAAAACCUGGUUUCCUAAGGGGGGGAUAAAAGAGGGAGAGAUGAGAUCGGGGUGUCCCGCUUCUGUGCAUGUGGAGGGGGUAACUGGGAACCGUGUACUGUAGGGGAUCGCACACCUUGGGGUGGAAACAGCAGCUCUCCGGAGUUGCAUGGGAGCCAUGGGCAGUGGUCCUGGCUGGUGAAAUGAUUCUAGCCACGUGGCCCACCCAGGGGGCAAAACAAUAGAAACCUUCAGAAAUGAAACGUCACCUGGCUGCAAGAAGAUAGUCCCACAGGCGCCCUAGAGAUGGGGAUGCCAAGUGGCUUCUCGGGAAGCUGUAAGAAUCCACAGGGCAUUGUAAGAUGGAGGGAAAUAUUAAGUUUUCUUCGUAAAGAGGUGAGGGGGGCGAGAGCAGCAAAGGACACUGGAAAAUGAGAAGCAUGGAUGGGAAGUGUUGCAUUGAGCAUAAUUUGGAGGUAAAAUCUCCAACACCGUAACUGAGUGGCCUGGGGACCUGAUAGAAAGCCCUGCUCAGGACUAAGGCAGAGUUCCCAGUUAUAUCGCAGAUACAAAGAGACCAGGAACACGCUUGUAAUCACAGCACUUAGGGAGGCUGAGGCGGGUGGAUGACCUGAGGUCAGGAGUUCGAGACCAGCCUAGCCAACAUGGUGAAACCCCCAUCUCUACUAAAAAUACAAAAAUUAGCCAGGCGUGGUGGCACAUGCCUGUAAUCCCAGCUACUCAGGAGGCUGAGGUGGGAGAAUCGCUUGAGCCCGGGAGGCAGGGGUUGCAGCGAGCUGAGAUCGUACCACUGCACUCCAGCCUGGGCAACAGAGUGAGACCCUGUCUCAAAAAGAAAAAAAAAAAAGAGAGAAAUCAGGAACAUCAUGAAAGAUACAGCAAAAUGUUUUACCCCAGCCCACUGCACCACACCUGGGAUUGUGACAAUUAACUUGAUAAAUUGUUCCUUUUCCUGUUCGGAACUGACUAGGUUGUGCGUGGAUGGACCAGUGAAAAGAAAAUCCUGUUUGGGUAGGGAAGAGGGAAGUAGAAAACCUCUUUCGUAUUCUUGGUGUCAAGAAAUGGGAAGAGAAUGAGGGAGCAGAGACCUGGGUUGAGUGUUGGCUCUGCACUAAACAGCUGUGUGAUCUUGGUCUAGUGCCUUAACCUCUCUGAGCCUCAGUUUGUACAUCAGUAACAUUGGGAUAAUGACAUCCACAUGCCCACUUCACAGAGCUGCUGUGAGGACUGGAUGAGAAAUGUAGAGAAGUAUUUCGGACACCAUAAAGCUCAAAUACAAGGUGUUGGUUAGGAAAAGUUUCAACUGACUUGUACCCACCUGAUACCCCUCCAUCAGCAUAAGCGUGUAUGAGGAUGUUAGGUACAUGUGUUGUGAGUGAAAGCUCUGGAACACCCGAGUAGAGCUUUCUGCAAAUCAGCUUCUCCUUCAGAGGAGACCAUUUUGUUUUGCUUUCCAGCAGUUACUUGAAGAAGCCUUAUCUGAAGUCACAACAGUGACUUCAGGAAUAGAAGGGACCAAUGGCCAGCUUGCUGAAAUGUAAUGCCAUUCUUAAAAGCCAGCUAAGAAUCAGACCGUAUUAGUUAAGGACCCAUAAGAGUAGACAUUUAGAAAAAGUGAAAAAUGGCAAGAGUGGCCCAAUCUUUUGAGAGUUUAGAGAAAAUAUCAUUUGGAAAGGGAGUAGCUCUCCUUCUAUUUUAGCCUUAUUAUUACGGUAUCUAUAAAGCAAUGCCAUAUUCUAAAUCUGCAGAAAUAAAAUUCUAAGGGGCGAAAGUCCAAGGCAGAAGUCAAAAGUUUUGCAAGGAAACCGAUGAGGUUGCUGACCUGAGCUGGGCAGGGUUGAACAGGCGAGUGCCAAGAUCAAGGUCUCUGAUUGUCUCUCCUUGAAAGGUAAGCAGAGAACUAGGGCUAUCCCAUAAAUUAAGUGGGAGAUUGGAAAGGGGUGCGGACUUCUGUAUUGGGGAGAAGGUCUUGGAUGAACUGGGGCAGAGAACUGCCAGAGAGAGUACCUAGGAAUACGUUGUUAGCAGGAGAAAGACCAAGUUCAGAUGCAGACUUGGGAAAGUAGGUAACUUGACCAAAGGUAGCAAAAUUAGACUACCCAACUGGAUUGUGAAUGCAGUUUAUGAAAUGGAUCAGGACAGGAGCAAAAAUAGAUUUUCUAGAAACUGCAGACUCCUGUGAUUGGAGCAGUAUACAAAGUACAGCAACAUCAGACUAGAUCUCACCUGAGGUGCUGGGUGAGAAAUCUUAGGGACCAGAUGGAAGAGGGCCUGUGUAUAAAGACAUUAGGAAGGAGGUUUGGGAGGGCAGCCUGACUUGUCUCCAGAGAAAGUUAGAACUGGUUGACUUAGCAACCAAGGGACACUGGGUCAAAGACGAGGAAUCAGGACGUCGGUGCCUAGUGACUGAGCGCCAGCCCAGCCCAUUUCUCUACAUUGCCAUGGGCUAAACCCAGUGUGCUGUAAACUCUUCAGUUCCUUUGGUUAUGGAUUUUGUAUCUUUUCUGUGUUUCUUAAUAAAGUUCUUUUGAAAAAUGGGAACCUUUCUCAGAUGGGAAUUUUGUAUCUUUCCUCUGUUUCUUAAUAAAGUUCUUUUGAAAAAUUGGAA